rnacentral:rRNA from 1 species
GCGGGAAUUCGAUUAGAGUUUGAUCAUGGCUCAGAACGAACGCUUUCGGUAUGCUUAACACAUGCAAGUCGAACGGAUUUAUUUAGAGCUUGCUUUAAAUAAAUUAGUGGCAGACGGGUGAGUAACACGUGGGAAUCUGCCCACCAGUACGGAAUAACAUUUAGAAAUAAUUGCUAAUACCGUAUAUUCUCUUUGGAGGAAAGAUUUAUCGCUGAUGGAUGAGCCCGCGCCAGAUUAGGUAGUUGGUAGGGUAAUGGCCUACCAAGCCAAUGAUCUGUAGCUGGUUUGAGAGAAUGAUCAGCCACACUGGGACUGAGACACGGCCCAGACUCCUACGGGAGGCAGCAGUGGGGAAUAUUGGACAAUGGGCGAAAGCCUGAUCCAGCAAUACCGAGUGGGUGAUGAAGGCCUUAGGGUUGUAAAGCCCUUUUCAGCAGGGAAGAUAAUGACGGUACCUGACCAAGAAAGCCCCGGCUAACUCCGUGCCAGCAGCCGCGCCCCUACGAAUCACUAGUGAAUUCGCGCCCGCCUGCAGGUCGACCAU